GAAUAAAGAGAGCUGUCCGUCGACAGUCCAGAAACUAUUUAAUAUCACUGUCAUGGAAUUGCUCUCUUUGUAUAA
rnacentral:pre_miRNA from 15 species